AUGGCGGACGAGGAGUUAACUGAUAUCAUGGUAGACAUGGAGUUCGGAGAACUGAUGAAAGACUGGAUAGAAGAUUGGUCAGAUGAUGAAAAUUCAGAUCAUGGAGAUCGGUCAGAGAAUGGGAACGAAUGGGACGAUCUUAAUAUGGAUGAGCUUGAUGAUGGUCAGGAAAACAACUCGGAGCUCUCGAAUGAAGAUUACAUUAGUGAGCUCAUUUCCGAAUGUCAUAAUGCGUACGACUAUUACGGUAAAUCAGACACGGAGACAGGCCUUAACGACGAAUCAUUAGAUGCACCUGAUUCUGGGGAGUUGCAGUUGUCGGUUAUCAUAAGUGAGAUAAUGAAAAUGACUUUUAUGUCUCACGAUGUUGCGUAUGAUUUCUACAACAACUAUCCUAGAGAUAAUGGUUUCAGCAUUAGAAAGAAUAAGGUCAGGGAGAAGAGGAAGCUGCUUUCAAAAGGUGAUGCUGCCACAGCCAUAGGCAUCAUGGCCAAUAGGAAACAGAGGGAUCCUAACUUCUUUUUUGAGUACAAGCUAGAUAAGGAAGGACAUUUGAAUAGGAUGUUCUGGUACGACUCCCAGUCUCGUCAUGACUAUGAGGACUUCGGCGAUGUGCUUGUAUUUGACAGCACGUACAAGAUGAACCGCUAUGGGGAAAGAAUGAAAUAUAGCCAGGAUAAUUUGAGCAAGCAAACAAAUGACCUCAGUAAGUGUGCAGUUGAAUAUGUGGACGAUGGUGAAGGCAACAUGAUUGUAGUUAAAGAUCCUAUGAAAGUGUCAAGCAAAGGUGCAACAAAGGUGUGCGGCUGGUUCCCCAGCACGGAGAUGUUGGUCAACCACGCGCGUAGCCUCGUCAAAGUCCUCACCGACGGCAAGAAGAAGCGUGCCUUCCCCUACGGUCGCGGCGUCUCGCCGGCUCUCCUCGUCGUCUGGGCAAUGCGAGAGGCCACACUGAGCGACUCCCCUGUUCAGCGCGCAAGGUGGUGGAUAUACCGCUCCACCACCAUGCCGCAGCGGCCAGAUCCAGCAUGCGUCGCGUCAAGGGUGGAGCGCGCCCACGUCGAGCUCGCUCUCCCAGCGCCCGCCAGCCCGGGCUACCAGGUACUGGUCAUCCAUGAUGACGAUGAAGAGGGCGAGGAGGACGCCGUGCAGAUGGUAGCGCUGGUCGCCGUCGAGGGUGGCAAGACAAUGCCCAUCGACGUCGAGCUCCUUCCCCUACUCCCUGACAUAGUGAAGGUGGAAGAAGAGGAGGUGGCUCAGAAUCAGGUGGCGCAACUGUCGAAGAGGACGGCGGUCAAGAAGAAGAAUUCUACGUGUGUGCCUCGGAGGGGGCUCAUCUCGUGCCUGCACAGCCUUAACUGCCGCGACGAGCACGCGCCUCUUCCACACGACGACGAUUUGCAAGAAGCCACGCGCGAGCUCAUCGUCGGUUUCUACGACAAGGCGUUCCGCCGGCUCCGGCUGCCCUGCAAGGCCCUGCCCGGCCUCUACGGCAUCCUCAGCACCGCCGGCCUCUGCCUCGGCCUCCUCGACCCCGUCUCCAACAUCAUGCUCAACACCCUCGCCCUCCUAAACCCCAAAACCAAGCCCCUCAGCGCCGCCGCCGCCGCCGCCGCCAAGACGGGGUCCAAGAAGAGACACAGACCCGGUUUCGACCCCUGGCACGAGGUUGCAACCAGGUCCUGCCACAGUCUCAUGGCUUUCCUUGUGGCGUACUUUGGAUGCCUCAACGAGGAACAGGCAUUCCGCUACCUCUACAGGGCCGGCGCCAAUCUCCGCCUCGCCGUCAUGCUCGUCCAGCACGAUCUCUACCAUGCAGAGCCAGAGGCACUGGACCCUGAAUCCGACAGGACGCAGGCUGCCCUCAAGUGGGCGGCCACCUCAGCAGGUCACCAUUCGCCCAACACCUUGGCUCAGGUCAUGGCAAUCCGGCUCAAAAAUGGCGACCUCGACCUCUUCAAGAACAAGCUCUUCUCAGCCCAUGGCACCCCUCUCACGGUUGAGGAUGUGCGAGCAAUCCAUCGCGUGUUGCACAUGAUGAUGACCCCCAUGUGUGUUGCCAACAUCAGCCACACCAAAGACGGGAUGGUUGUCCAUGUCCGUCAGAAGCUCGAAGAUGGAGGCGAUGGCGCCAUCUGGUCCGAAACUAAGCACGUUGUCGUCUCUGGUGCACCAGCUGACGCCAGGAUCACCUCCACCAUCUUCCACUGGGACGGGACCGCAGUUUCGUCUCUGCAGCUUGGACUGCCUGACAAGCUGCAAGAUUGCCUGAGGAUAGCAGAUGGCCAGAAACACAUUCUCAAGACCACGUGCAGUGACGACGCCUGCGAUUACCUGCUCUCUCUCAAGAUGAACCUACAUGGCAUGAUUCACAACCUCUAUGUCCAGGCGCUCAAGUUGCUGCCCGCACCCUCGGGCUCGCUCAUGCGCAACAUCCUUAUGGCCGGCCACUGCUAUGGCCCAUGUGACCCUCUCUCCAACAUCAUCCUUAACUCAAUCUGGUAUGACACAUGUGGCUCCGUUCUGUCAGUUUCUGACCGCACGACGUUGAAUGAGUACAAUGAUGUCCUGGACCCCCUAUCUGUGCUCCGCCUAGUUGUUCGUUCCCUCGAGGGGCUUGCAAAGCUUGCCUUGUUCGCCGACCCCCAAUCCUCAAUUGUGUGUGCUCUAGAGAAACUCUGCAGUGCAAAAUGCGACCUUGUUGACAUGUUAUCAUCUACAAAUAAGAGGUCUGAAAAGAACCCCUUCCACGAGGCGGCCAUGGCUGCUAAACACCCGAUGCCCCUUCAGCUCGGUGAAUUUCACCGGAUGCUGCUGCUCGUGCCCGAUGGCCGAAGCAAGCUGCUCUCACAUAUAACCAAGGCGCAAACUAGUGGUGCUGUGUUGUGGGUCGAUGACAUCAGAGCCCUUAUGUCGGCCUUGUGGUUGGAGUUCAAAAAAACAUCCAGGUUUCAAACUAGUGGCACUGUGCAAGCUUCUGCUCCUGAACUUUGUGUAGAGGCCGCCUUGAGGGUGGUAUCAAGCGCGAGAUCACAAUAUGAGGAGGAGAGGAGCUGGUUGCGUCCAAAGAUUAAACAUGUGCUCAAGGAUUACACACACCAACAUUUUUGGGGACCAAAGUAUAAACUUGAUUUUAUAUUUGGUGUGGAGGAAAGCGACCAUGGCCGGCAGCCCUUCACUGAUACGUGCCACCACGUGAACUUCAUGGCAACUUGUGAUGAGAAUGUUUCGAGGACCCUAUUUUACGCCGAGUUGUGGUCCUCACCCUCACGUAAGCCAAGGACAGAAUUCUGCUGCCCUCUAUCGUAUGCAUAUGCGGGGCGUUGCUACUAUGACAUGGAUUGCGCAAGGAAGAUCGUGUAUCCGGAUGACGCCAAGUACAUCCCUGACGAUAUCACCAGUGAGGGAACCGGCAGUGUGGAUGGCGUGCUAAAGAUGGACCUCGUGCACUUCAGCUCCGAGUUGGACGUGGAGCUCGCGCGGAAGUAA
rnacentral:rRNA from 1 species